rnacentral:tRNA from 1 species
GAAGCUCAAUGGUAGAACAUCUGCCUAGCAUGCACAAGGUUCUGGGUUCAAUUCCCAGC